rnacentral:rRNA from 1 species
CAAGUCGAACGAUGAAGUCCUUCGGGAUGGAUUAGUGGCGCACGGGUGAGUAAUAUAUAGUUAAUGUGCCCCUUAGUCUGGGAUAGCCACUGGAAACGGUGAUUAAUACCGGAUACUCCUUAUGAGUUUAAGCUUGUAAGGGAAAGUUUUUCGCUAAGGGAUCAGACUAUAUCGCAUCAGUUAGUUGGUGGGGUAAUGGCCUACCAAGACAAUGACGCGUAGCGGGUUUGAGAGGAUGAUCCGCCACACUGGUACUGAGACACGGACCAGACUCC